UUAGGAAUCUUCCCCAAUGGGCGAAAGCCUGAGGGAGCGACGCCGCGUGAGGGAUGAAGGCCUUUGGGUUGUAAACCUCUGAACGAAGGACGAAAGCCCCGCAAGGGGGAUGACGGUACUUCGGUAAUAGCACCGGCUAACUCCGUGCCAGCAGCCGCGGUAAUACGGAGGGUGCGAGCGUUACCCGGAAUCACUGGGCGUAAAGGGCGUGUAGGCGGUUCACUAAGUCUGGCUUUAAAGACCGGAGCUCAACUCCGGGCCUGGGUUGGAUACUGGUGAGCUUGACGGCUGGAGGGGAGGGUGGAAUUCUCGGUGUAGCGGUGGAAUGCGUAGAUACCGAGAGGAACACCAGUGGCGAAGGCGGCCCUCUGGACAGUGCGUGACGCUGAGGCGCGAAAAGUGUGGGGAGCGAACCGGAUUAGAUACCCGGGUAGUCCACACCUUAAACGAUGUGUGUUGGGUGCUUGCCCGUUGGGGUGGGUGCCGAAGCUAACGCGAUAAACACACCGCCUGGGAAGUACGGCCGCAAGGUUGAAAACUUAAAUGAAUUGACGGGGGUCAUAGCUGUUUCCU
rnacentral:rRNA from 1 species